rnacentral:miRNA from 2 species
AUAUCGUGUGCUGGAGGUCAGG